UAGGGAAUAUUGGACAAUGGGGGAAACCCUGAUCCAGCAACGCCGCGUGAGUGAUGAAGGCCUUCGGGUCGUAAAGCUCUGUCGCAGGGGAAGAAAAAAAUGACGGUACCCUGCAAGAAAGGACCGGCCAACUUCGUGCCAGCAGCCGCGGUAAUACGAAGGGUCCAAGCGUUGUCCGGAAUUACUGGGCGUAAAGCGAAUGUAGGCGGCUUUUCAAGUCACUUGUGAAAGCCCGGGGCCUAACCCCGGAAGUGCAAGUGAUACUGUUAAGCUUGAGUAUCAGAGAGGAUGUCAGAAUUCCUGGUGUAGUGGUGAAAUACGUAGAUAUCAGGAGGAAUACCGGUGGCGAAGGCGGAUGUCUGGCUGAAUACUGACGCUGAGAUUCGAAAGCGUGGGGAUC
rnacentral:rRNA from 1 species